rnacentral:rRNA from 1 species
AGCGAACGCUGGCGGCAGGCUUAACACAUGCAAGUCGAACGCAUCCUUCGGGGUGAGUGGCAGACGGGUGAGUAACACGUGGGAACGUACCCUUCGAUCUGGGAUAACUUCGGGAAACUGGAGCUAAUACCGGAUACGCCCUUUUGGGGAAAGGUUUACUGUCGAAGGAUCGGCCCGCGUCUGAUUAGCUAGUUGGUGGGGUAACGGCCUACCAAGGCGACGAUCAGUAGCUGGUCUGAGAGGAUGAUCAGCCACACUGGGACUGAGACACGGCCCAGACUCCUACGGGAGGGAGCAGUGGGGAAUAUUGGACAAUGGGCGCAAGCCUGAUCCAGCCAUGCCGCGUGAGUGAUGAAGGCCGUAGGGUUGUAAAGCUCUUUUGUCCGGGACGAUAAUGACGGUACCGGAAGAAUAAGCCCCGGCUAACUUCGUG